UAAAGACUUCUGAAUUCUGUUUCUCCAAAAUAACAUCGUCUCAACUACUGCGAAGACACAGGGUCCUGUUCAGGACAUGAGGAACAUCUGAUGAUCUUCAGUGACACAAAGAUCUCAGAGAAAAGAAGAAAGAGAUGAGUCUCUCAAAGAAACCGAGGUGCUGAUAUAAAUUUGUCGUAUAGCCACGUGACAUAACAACCUUUAAACUUUGUACCUCUCUCUGCGUAGUGUCAGCAAUCUUAAAGACAAUAUUGUGCCACAUAACAGAGAAAAUAUCAUGUAGUGAUAAAUGAAUUACCAAUAUAAGUAUAUUAACUACUAGUAAAAUAAUAAUAAGGUGAGAGAUUAGACAGAUUUACAGAAGAUCUAGCAGGUCCAGGUUCUGCUGUAAACCAUGUUGAGAAGGAGACAGAAGCAGAUCAUCUGAUCUGUGAGUUGUGUUGAGUGAGGCAGCGGCUGACCGUUCAUUGAUGUAAAUGUUAAAUAAUGUUGUUCUUCAGCAGCUCCUCUCUCACUCCACACUCCUGGGAAAGAUACCUUGUACAUUUGGUGAUGAUAAUGACACCAUAAUUAUGUUCUGUGUAUAUUGAUUUAAUGAGAGCAUAGGUUUUACCUCCUGUGCCACUUUCAAUAAGGUUGUAAAACAGAUCUUGGUGCCAAAUUGAGUCAGAAUUGUUUAUAUUUUUACCUUUUGUCUUGGUGAAGAUGUUUUUCAAGAAGUAAUAUUGUCACGAAUGAGGGGCCUGAGGCGUGCGGAUACAUAUGCAGGCUUUUAUUAAAGUAAGGCAUGGUCAAAACAGGCAGGCGUCAAACAGGGCAAACAGAUGUAUAAGAGGCGAGGCAAAUACAAAAUCCAAGAACAGGCGAAGGUCGGGUCAGGCAGCAAACAAUCACAGAAUCUAAAGACAGGCAGGGUCAAAACCAAGAGAACUAAGACUAAGGAAACUCGGGAAACAACAAUAGAACAGGCGAAACAAUGCAACCUGCAGGUGAGUGGCUUGCUGCAGACUUUAUAGUCCUGGAACAGGAAGUUGUCGCAGAGGGAGUGAAUGCAGAUCACCCAGAGGUCAGGACUCCCUCUGCUGGCUUGGUGACAAAUAUGUAGAUGUGAUCAGAUUUACAGCAGUUUGGUAAAAAUAAGAUUUGACUUAUCUCAGAUUGUGUGUGGUUAUGAAGUCUAAUAGAUCAUAAUACAUAAUAAUAGAUGUUUAUUAUGCUACAGAAUCAUUUUUCCUCACAAAGAUGUUUCUGUAGAUGUUAGGAUCAAAUUAAUCAUUCAUCAUUAUCAGUCCUUUAUCAACCCAUGUUUUUUUGGAAUGCGCUGACCGAGAAAAUUGUGUUAUUUAGUUAGUUAUUUGUGUUAUUUAGUGUUAUUAAGACAUUUUUAACAGAUAAGCAAAUUAGAUUUUUAGAGUUUAAUUAUAAAAAUGUAACGUCUCCGUUCCCUCCAUUAUGGAAUAAGUGCUCCCUAUCUGUCAGUCACUAUGAAAUUUGGCAAGUGGUUAACUAAUCAUGAGCUACUCCCCAUCACGCGGGUAUAAAUAGGCCACAGGUGUUGCAGAUUUUGCUUGGGAGCCCAGUGCUGCAUGGUUGCUGUACUAGCACUUUUGCUAGCGGAAAAAGCUGGAAAAGGAACUGUUUGUGUGGCGGUUUGACACAAUCACUGGCGUCCCUGUUUG